rnacentral:rRNA from 1 species
GACGAACGCUGGCGGCGUGCUUAACACAUGCAAGUCGAGCGGAGCGGCGAACGGGUGAGUAACGCGUGAGUAACUGCCCCCCUCUCCGGGAUAACAGUUGGAAACGGCUGCGAAUACCGGAUAGUGGGGGAUGACUCGCGUCCUAUCAGCUUGUUGGUGGGGUAGUGGCCUACCAAGGCGACGACGGGUAGCCGGCCUGGGCGGGCGACCGGCCACAUUGGGCUGAGAUACGGCCCAAACUACUACGGGAGGCAGCGGGGGGGAGUAUUGCAGAAUGGGGGAGACACUGAUGCAGCAACGCGCGUGCGGGAUGACGGCCUGCGGGAUGUAAACCGCUGUCAGCCAUGACGCGGUAGUGGCAGAAGAAGCACCGGCUAACUACGUGCAAGCAGCCGCGGUAAUA